CAGAGCGUAGUUCAAAUUAGUAGAACGCCUCCCUUACACUGAGGCAGUAUUCGUGCAAGCCAAAUCGCUAUGA
rnacentral:tRNA from 1 species